UACCUGGUUGAUCCUGCCAGUAGUCAUAUGCUUGUCUCAAAGAUUAAGCCAUGCAUGUCUAAGUAAAAGCAAAUUUUUACAGCGAAACUGCGAAUGGCUCAUUAAAUCAGUUAUGAUCUACAUGACAAUUACUUUACUACUGGAUAACCGUGGUAAUUCUAGAGCUAAUACAUGCAGAAAAGGCCUGACUUCGGAAGGGCUGCACUUAUUAGAUCAAAACCUUCCUGGGUAAAACCAGUUCUUUGGUGAUUCAUAAUUAAUUUAGCUGAUCGCAUGGCCUUGCGCCGGCGACGGUACAUUCGAUUUUCUGCCCUAUCAGGCUGUUGAUUGUAAGAUAGAGGCUUACAAUGGCUACCACGGGUAACGGGGAAUUAGGGUUCUAUUCCGGAGAGGGAGCCUGAGAAACGGCUACCACAUCCAAGGAAGGCAGCAGGCGCGCAAAUUACCCAAUCCCAAUUCGGGGAGGUAGUGACAAUAAAUAACAAUGCUGGCAUUUUUUGCCUAGCAAUUGGAAUGAGUACAAUUUAAAUCCCUUAACGAGGAUCAAUUGGAGGGCAAGUCUGGUGCCAGCAGCCGCGGUAAUUCCAGCUCCAAAAGCGUAUAUUAAAGUUGUUGCAGUUAAAACGUCCGUAGUCGAAUUUACACCUGGUGCCUGAACCGCCGGUUCUUCAUUGAGCUGGAUUGGUUUCAGGCCCGGUGAUAAAGUCUGGUCUAUAGCUUGGUUGGCUUCGGUCGGCUGAGUUCCCUGGCCAGGCGUAUUACCAUGAGCAAAUCAGAAUGCUCAAAGUAGGCCUACGCGCCUGAAUGUGUUAGCAUGGAAUAAUAAAAUAGGACUCGAGUCUUGUUUUGUUGGUUUACUUUGACAUUGAGAAAUGAUGAAUAGGAACGGUUGGGGGCAUUUGUAUUUGGCCGCUAGAGGUGAAAUUCUUGGAUUGGCCGAAGACAAACUACUGCGAAAGCAUUUGACCCAGGACGUUUUCAUUGAUCAGGGACUAAAGUUGAGGGAUCGAAGACGAUUAGAUACCGUCGUAGUCUUAACCACAAACUAUGCCGACUAGCGAUUGGGCCUUGACCUUUGGUCAGGUUCAGCAGCUUAGCGAAAGUAAAGUCUUUGGGUUCUGGGGGGAGUAUGGGACGCAAGGCCUGAAACUUAAAGGAAUUGACGGAAGGGCACCACCAGGAGUGGAGCCUGCGGCUUAAUUUGACUCAACACGGGGAAACUCACCAGGUCCAGACAUAAGAAGGAUUGACAGAUUGAAAGCUCUUUCUAGAUUUUAUGGGUGGUGGUGCAUGGCCGUUCUUAGUUCGUGGAGUGAUUUGUCUGGUUAAUUCCGAUAAACGAACGAGACCUUAUUCUGCUAAAUAGCUGGGUCAACUUUUUAGUUGGCGCUAUGGUUUCUUCGGAGACCCCAGCUUCUUAGAGAGACUACUGAAUUCAAUUCAGUGGAAGUUUUAGGCAAUAACAGGUCUGUGAUGCCUUAGAUGUUCUGGGCCGCACGCGCGCUACACUGACAAAAUCAGCGAGUUUUAUUCCUUGGCCGGAAGGUCUGGGUAAACUUUUGAAAUUUUGUCGUGCUGGGGAUAGAACAUUGCAAUUAUUGUUCUUCAACGAGGAAUUCCUAGUAAGCGCAAGUCAUCAGCUUGCGUUGAUUACGUCCCUGCCCUUUGUACACACCGCCCGUCGCUACUACCGAUUGAAUGGUCAUAGUGAGCAUGUGGGAUCACCCGCACCAGGAUGGCAACAUCUCGGUAUGGGAGAGAACUAUGGCAAACUAGAUUAUUUAGAGGAAGUAAAAGUCGUAACAAGGUUUCCGUAGGUGAACCUGCGGAAGGAUCAUUA
rfam:Absidia repens strain NRRL 1336 BCR42scaffold_82, whole genome shotgun sequence.